GUAAGGGCUAAGGCAAACUGAGGCCACCUCCUUUGUCUGUGUUUCUGUACGGUGGGGACAAUCCUCCUUUUGUCCCCUCACCUUGUCAUAGAGGUGGCAGAAGAGGUUUGUGGGGCUCCAACUGUUGCUAUGAUUAAAAGUGAAAGACAUCUGCAUAGCUUGUAACUCCUGCAGGUGAUAUUUCUCCAGCUCCUAUCUUCAGGAUAUAUGUCUAAAAUACCCCUAUUGAUGCUACUUCUCUUAGAGCAGCCCCUCACUUCCAAGUUACAGUGGGAGCUCCAGGCAAAAUGAAUUGUCCCUGUUGUAUCAUCGAGGGAACUGAAAAAAGCAAGUCUGAGAACAGCGAUGAAAGUAAUAGAAAAUAGGAGGCAAAUGUAAGGGCAGGGCUGUUUGCGUAAACACUGUGAUAAGUUUUAGGUAAGUCCAUAGGUCAAGGUCCAUGAGGUUUAGAAAUCCACCGAUGCCUGUAAGUGCAACCUGGGGCUUGGGGAAGCUGCUAAACAACUGGUAGCUGGGUGGGUAUAUGAAAUAAAACCCAAGCACCGAUCCUGUUUUCACACACUUCAGCUAGCAGUAGUUUUUCACAGGCUUCUUGUUGUUGUUUCUUAGUAAUUAGCAGAAAAGCUCCAAUUGCGGCACAAAUAGUUCCUGUGGUGUAAAACACUAAUUAAGGCAGAGAAGAGUGGAGCUCGGUGGCUUGGGCAGACUCUGCCUUCCCUGGGCUGCGAGGUGGCCGGGCAGGGGAUGGACCCCUGCGAUGUCCCGAGUUUGCAUCGUGGCUUUGCAUUGCCCACAGGUUGUCCUGCACGAUGGGCAGCUGCGGCAUAAAGAGAAAAAUGAAGAAAAAUUUGUGUUUAUCCCUCCUGAUGGAAGAUAACAUCAGGUCAGGUGACAGUACAGUCCCCACGGGCCAUUCAGGCUUCUGGGAAGAGCUUUGUGCCAUGCCAUUUCCCUGCUUCAAGAGGAGACGUACAAUGAGUGCCAGCCAGCACAUCUGAUGGAAUCUGCUCCUGUCAGGAGCCUCUGGAGUUUAUGAUGACAUUAAGAUUUUUGGCUGACAAAGGCAACAAUGCUGAGGCAACCGAUUUGAUUUGUACAACCGCUACCUUGGUGAUGUGUAAUAUUUUGGUUAUGCACUGAGAGUGAUAUAACAUUAACACGGUGCAGAACAUAUGGAUUGAAAACUGCCUGGCUGAAUCACUCAAAAUGUAGGUAAAAAACAAAGACUUCAAAAUAAAGACUACUCCUAAUCAGAAA